GGGGGACCUGCGGAAGGAUCAUUA
rnacentral:rRNA from 1 species